rnacentral:lncRNA from 1 species
CCCCUAACUUGUAGUUGUCUGGGACGGUGUUGCUCAUGAGCUUUGCUUACUCCAGAACAUCUCCUUCCUUAAAGGCAAAACAAAGAAUACUUUGGGCUACAGAAUAAACAAUUCUGUCAGCUGGAAGGGUUAAGGCUUUAAGGGUUCAAAGAAAAGGAUAGUUUUCAUCUGGUUUUUGAAGACAAACAAAAAACACCCCUUGACCCCCUUCUCCUGGAGAGGAAAAGGAAGCUGCCCCCCACAGCCUGGCUAACGGCACCAAACCAAACAGCUCAGGCAAGAAGCUCCCGGGAUGACCUGCCAGCUGAAUGCCCAACAGUCUUGAUUUGGCCAAGUUAAGCAAGCAAAACCUGGGUAUCGCUGCCGUGGCUCACAAGGCACAAGCGAUCUCGGGUCAGGGUCUCAAAGACAGGACGCCUUUGCCUCAGGCACGAGCACCCGUUGCCCUGUGUCCCAGUGUCCGGCCCAGUUAAUUCCAAGCUAGACAACGCCGGGCUCCCAGGGAGCCCCUCCCAGGACCGAGCCACCUUUCACCAGAGCCAGCAUACCAAGUGGGGCGAGGGGUCAGAAGCUCCAAGUCACACUGCCACAGGACGGGAGUCAGGCAAACACUUGAGAGGUUUGGAAGGCAGCAGUUUGGCAAAGCCCUUUCCGCAAGCUCCCCUUCUGGGGGUGCCGAGAGAACCAUUUAAAAUUAAGAGGUGAUAACUACAAUACUUAACACAUCCGCCAAGCAAGGCUGGGAUGAAUGAUGCUUUAUCUCAGCAAAAGACAACAAUCAAACACCUUAUGCACUAAAUGUUAGGGAUGGUUUUUCCUACUGAUGUUAGAAACAAGUCCUGGAACAAAUGCGAUCUUCUCCAUCACGGUCAGAUGUCACUAACUUGCCAUUAUCUCCUCUAUCACGGAGGACAUGAGGUCAUUGUCCAACGUCUACAAGGCAAGGAGCAACCGGCUAUAAAGUGCUUCUGUCAAUGCAGUCGUACCUCAGUUUCUCCUCCCAUCUUCCCAAGCUCACAGAGGGAUAUUGCUUCCAUAAAACCUUCUCAAACCCACUCCCAUCCGGGGGUCACAGUAGACCACUGGCUUCGUGGGCUGAUCCUCUGCCAAAGGCUCCUCUUGGGGAAGGAGCUGAUGUGGGUCCAGCUUAAUCUAUACCAAGGUGCCGCCUUCAUUAAAGUCAGGGUAGCCAUUUAUACAAGGAAACUAGGUAAGGCAAAUGAAACAUUUUUCUUUUCUCAGUUCUCUUCUUUCCUUUAAAGAAUUAGGCUGCUAGUAUGUAACCCCAUUUCCUAAUAUCUAUUUUCCAAGCUAUGGUAAUUGCUAAGUGGCCAGUUUCGCAUGUCGUGAACAAGACUUUGAUGAGGAGCAGUACUUAAUCUCCGAUUGCUCAGAAACCAGUGUGUCUAAGACUUAACUACCAAAGGAGCAGAUUAUCUCAACUCAGAUGCCCGGUGAGGAAACUAGCCCCUCUGAGAGGCCAUCUCCCAUGGCCUCAGAUAAGGAAUGUACGUCUCGAAUCCGUUCUGCCCUCUCCGCACCUGCUUCGUCUCCCUGCCUCCGGCCCUCACCAUUGCUCUGUUAGGGCAGAGGUGGUCACUGGGGGCAGAGGGCAGAGUGACGAGGAGAGAAAGGUGGGAAGGGGUCGGAUUUGGGACGGUAAGC